rnacentral:misc_RNA from 1 species
GCAUUAUGGCGCGGUCAAUUUGAAUUACUCCUAGUUUAAAAACAAGGAAAUCUUAAAAAUAUUUAAAAUACAACAACUUUGGUACUAAAAACUAUUUUAAAACAGAGAAUUGUAAAUAUUUUCGUAUUUGUGUUUGUUACCUCUUGAAUUUUAUACAUGCCUUUCCUAAUAAAUUUAAAGGAGAUCCAACCCAACCAAAGAUAAGGCAGACAGUUUGUUUACUUUUGUAAUGUAUUAAUGUAUUAUAUCAUUCUCAUAAACAAUAAGAACACCCAAUAUUUUUCGUAUUGUAAUGGAUACUUAUGAAUAAAGAAGUUGAUAUAAUCAGUGUCAUAGUUCCCAUUUAUAAUGGGGCCAAAUGGAUAGACCCCUGUUUUCAUAGCAUUUUAAAACAAAAUGUAGAUGAUACCCAAUUUCAAUUGGAGGUAUGUGUCUGUAAUGACUCCAGUACAGAUGAAACAUCAACAUUACUGGGAAAAUGGAAAGAUCAUUUUCAAGAAGCUGGUGUGUCCCUAAAGGUGUUUAAUAAUAGAAGUGAAAAUCCUGGAGGAGUUGGAUUUGCUAAAAACAAAGCUGUUUCAAUCAGUUCAGGAAGAUUUCUGUGCUUUCAAGAUAUAGAUGAUGUGAUGUUACCAGAAAGAGUUCAAAAGCAAUAUCAGGUUGCUGUAAAUUCUUCAGUUGAUACAAUUGUGGGUGCUCAGUUCAAACGUGAACCAGAGGAUUCCACAGUUCGCUACACCAAAUGGGCUAAUUCUUUAAGUCAGGAACAAUUGAGCAUUCAAGUAUAUACAUCACAUGGUCCUACAGUAAUAAUGCCUACAUGGUUUUUGUAUAGGGAUCAUUUUGACGAAGUAGGAGGAUUUGUGGAAAAAGGAAUGGGAACUCCAGAAGACUUAAUUUUUUUCUAUAAGCAUCUUGAUCUUGGUGGAAAAAUUAUUAGAGUAGACGAGUGUUUGUUGAUAUACAGAUUUCAUUCGAACCAAGCUACUUUUUCUGUUCAUCAGGAUACCAUCUGGAAUUUACGAGUAGAUAGGUUACAAAAGAAAAUUUUAAGUGAUUGGCCGCAGUUUACUAUUUGGAAUGCUGGUAAGCAAGGCAAGAAAUUAUACAACUCUUUAUCGAAGGAAAAUCAAGCAAAAGUUGUAGCUUUCUGUGAUGUAGAUAGUAAUAAAAUUGGUAAACCUUAUAUACCAUAUAACCCUAAUGAUCGUAAAGGAAAGAAAAAGAUGAUUGAAAUCGUUCAUUUCAAGGAUGCACUUCCACCUUUGGUUAUUUGUGUAAAAAUGGAUAUGACUGGUGGAGUUUUUGAAGACAAUUUGCAGUCUUUAAAUCUGCAAGAAGGUCUAGAAUAUGUAAUAUUCAGUUAGACCAAAAAUAAGGUAGUAUCAUUGAUGCAGUUCUGUAAAUAAUGAAAUAUCUAUUUUUUUUCAAAUGAUUUCUUUCUUUAUUAAUGUUGGUUUGCUAAACUCAGACACAACUGGCUAGUGAUUUUAGUAAGUAGUUUUACCAUUUUGGUAAAAUUGCCAAAAAAAUAAUUAUUAAGUAGUUAGUAAUUUUGCCAAUUUUGGCAAAAUUGGCCAAAAACAAUAAAAUUACCUACUAAGAUCACUAGUCAGUUAUGUCUGAGUUUAGCAAACCGACUAUAUGUUUUCUUGUUAUUUUUGAAGUGAAAACUUCUUUAGGGACGUUAUGCGAUUUUUGGAUAGGGGAAAAAGCAUUGAAUUCGCGACCGUCAUCGAUUUUUUGGAUAGGGGAAAAGCAUUGAAUUUGCGACCGUCAUCACGACCGUCAUCGCUUAUGCUAUAUAUUAUUUGUAGGUAUAUAUAAAUUGUAUCAUCAUCAUAGUCAUUAACAUCUUAGUAGAUGUGUUGUGGUUCAUAAUUGGGCUUCAGCAGCUCGGACAGUUUGAUUGAUAAUAUUUCUCCACUGGUCGCGGUCAUCAGUUACAUGUAUUGCCUCAGUAUACUGUUUGUUGAGAAGCUUUUUAGUAAUGUCCGCCCAUCGCUGUGGAGAUCUUCCGCGUUGGCGUUGAGUCUGAGGCCUUCCUUGGACCACCAACCGCUCCAUUUUGUGAUCACUCCGAUGGAUAUGACCAAAGAACUUUAAAAUUCUAGAGUAAACGGUACUGGAGAGACGCUGAUCCGGUUUAAUUUCAUCCAGAACCGAGACAUUUGUACGGCGAGCCGUCCAUGGAAUUCGAAGCAGGCGUCUCCAUGUCCACAUUUCAAAGGCGUCUAUACGUCGUCUAUCUGAUUCUUUGACUGUCCAUGUCUCGCAUGCAUAGUAAAAUAUGGAAAAGACCAGAGUUGAAACGAGUCUCUUUUUGUUUGUCAUAGUAAUGUGACGAUCACGCCAGACCCCGUUUAGUUCACUCAUUGCUGCUCUUGCUAGUUGAAUGCGUCUUCUAAUUUCGGGUUCACAACUGCCUGUGUUGUUAACUAGAGCUCCAAGAUAUAUCAUAGAUGAGACUACCUCGCAUCCCGCAAUAGUUUGGGUUUCAGGAAACUGUUGUUGGCGAUCAAUAACCAUGAUUUUGGUUUUGUUGUAGUUAACCAUGAGUCCAAAUUUAGCACUUUCUAAAUUGUAUAGAAGUAUUAAAAUUUAAAAUAAAUGUAAAACCUAUUUUAGGAUGGGGAAAAAGGAUUUAUUUCGCGACCGUCAUCUCUUCGGCGAAAUAAAUUUUGUACGUAUGUAUAUUAUGUGUAUCUAUACAUAAAUUGUAUAAAGUAUUUAAAUUUAAAAUAAAUGUAAAACCUAUUUUUGGAUUUUGUUCUGAAGCUAUUUCCUUGUGGCAUUUUUAUGAUGGGGAAAAAGGAUUUAUUUCGCGGCCGUCAUCUCUUCGGCGAAAUAAAUUUUGUACGUAUGUAUAUUGAAGUGAAAACUUCUUUAGGGACCUUGUGCAAUUUUUGGAUGGGAUAAAGUAUUAAAUUGGCGACCGUCAUCGCUUCGGCAAAAUAAAUUUUUAAAGUGAAAACUUCUUUUGAGGACGUUGUGCACUUUUUAGAUGGGGGAAAAGUAUUGAAUUAGCGACCGUCAUCGCUUCGGCGAAAUACAUUUUUGAAGUGAAAACUUCUUUAGGGACGUUGUGCUCUUUUUGGAUGGAAAAAAGUAUUAAAUUAGCGACCGUCAUCGCUUCGAUGAAAUAAAUUUUUGAAGUGAAAACUUCUUGAGUGACGUUGUGCACUUUUUGGAUGGGGAAAAAUUAUUAAAUUAGCGACCGUCAUCGCUUCUAUGAAAUAAAUUUUUGAAGUGAAAACUUCUUGAGGGACGUUGUGCACUUUUUGGAUGAGGGAAAAGUAUUGAAUUAGGGACCGUCAUCGCUUCGACGAAAGAAAUAUUUGAAGUGAAAAGUUCUUUAGGGACGUUGUGCUCUUUUUGGAUGGAAGAAAGUAUUAAAUUAGCGACUGACAUCGCGACCGUCAUCGCUUCGACGAAAUAAACAUUUGAAGUGAAAACUUUUUUUAGGGACGUUGUGCUCUUUUUGGAUGUAAAAAAGUAUUAAAUUAGCGACCGUCAUCGCUUCGAUGAAAUACAUUUUUGAAGUGAAAACUUCCUGAGUGAGGUUGUGCACUUUUUGGAUGGGGAAAAAUUAUUAAAUUAGCGACCGUCAUCGCUUCGACGAAAUAAAUAUUUGAAGUGAAACUUCUUUAGGGACGUUGUGCACUUUUUCGACGGAAAAAAGUAUUAAAUUAGCAACCCUCAUCGCUUCGAUGAAAUAAAUUUUUGAAGUGAAAACUUCUUAAGGGACGUUGUGCAUUUUUGGAUGGGAAAAAGUAUUAAAUUAGCGACCGUCAUCGCUUCGAUGAAAUACUUUUUUGGAAGUGAAAACUUCCUGAGUGACGUGCACUUUUUGGAUGGGGAAAAAUUAUUAAAUUAGCGACCGUCAUCGCUUCGACGAAAUAAAUAUUUGAAGUGAGACUUCUUUAGGAACGUUGUGCACUUUUUCGAUGGAAAAAAGUAUUAAAUUAGCGACCAUCAUCACUUCGACUAAAUAAAUAUUUGAAGUGAAAACUUCUUUAGGGACGUGCACUUUUUGGAUGGGAAAAAGUAUUAAAUUAGCGACCGUCAUCGCUUCGAUGAAAUACUUUUUUGGACGUGAAAACUUCCUGAGUGACGUUGUGCACUUUUUGGAUGGGAGAAAAUUAUUAAAUUAGUGACCGUCAUCGCUUCGACGAAAUAAAUAUUUGAAGUGAAACUUCUUUAGGGACGUUGUGCACUUUUUCGAUGGAAAAAAGUAUUAAAUUAACGACCAUCAUCACUUCGACGAAAUAAAUAUUUGAAAUGAAAACUUCUUUAGGGACGAUGUGCACUUUUUGGAUGGGAAAAAGUAUUAAAUUAGCGACCGUCAUCGCUUCGACGAAAUACUUUUUUGGAAGUGAAAACUUCCUGAGUGACGUUGUGCACUUUUUGGAUGAAGAAAAAUGAUUAAAUUAGCGACCGUCAUCGCUUCGACGAAAUAAAUAUUUGAAGUGAAACUUCUUUAGGGACGUUGUGCACUUAUUCGAUGGAAAAAAGUAUUAAAUUAGCGACCCUCAUCGCUUCGAUGAAAUAAAUUUUUGAAGUAACGUUUUUUAGGGACGUUGUGCACUCUUUGGAUGGGCAAAAAUUAUUAAAUUAGCGACCAUCAUCACUUCGACGAAAUAAAUUUUUGAAGUGAAAAUUUCUUUAGGGACGUUGUGCACUUUUUUGAUGGGGGAAAAGUAUUGAAUUAGGGACCUUCAUCGCUUCGACGAAAUAAAUAUUUGAAGUGAAAACUUCUUUAGGGACCUUGUGCACUUUUUGGAUGGGAAAAAGUAUUAAAUUAGCGACCGUCAUCGCUGCGACGAAAUAAAUAUUUGAAGUAAAACAUUUCUUGAGGGACUGAGGGACAUGUGCACUUUUUGGAUGGGAAAAAUAUUAAAUUAGCGACCGUCAUCGCUUCGACGAAAUAAAUUUUUGAAGUGAAAAUUUCUUUAGGGACGUUGUGCUCUUUUUGGAUGGGGCAAAAGUAUUGAAUUAGGGAGCGUCAUCGCUUCGACGAAAUAAAUUUUUGAAGUGAAAACUUCUUCAGGGACGUUGUGCACUUUUUGGAUGGGAGAAAGUAUUAAAUUAGGGACCGUCAUCGCUUCGAUGAAAUAAAUAUUUGAAGUGAAAACUUCUUGAGGGACGUUGUGCAUUUUUGGAUGGGCAAAAAUUAUUAAAUUAGCGACCAUCAUCACUUCGACGAAAUAAAUUUUUGAAGUGAAAAUUUCUGUAGGGACGUUGUGCACUUUUUUGAUGGGGGAAAAGUAUUAAAUUAGGGACCUUCAUCGCUUCGACGAAAUAAAUAUUUGAAGUGAAAACUUCUUUAGGGACGUUGUGCACUUUUUGGAUGGGAAAAAGUAUUAAAUUAGCGACCGUCAUCGCUGCGACGAAAUAAACAUUUGAAGUAAAACAUUUCUUGAGGGACUGAGGGACAUAGUGCACUUUUUGGAUGGGGAAAAUAUUAAAUUAGCGACCGUCAUCGCUUCGACGAAAUACAUUUUUGAAGUGAAAAUUUCUUUAGGGACGUUGUGCUCUUUUUGGAUGGGGCAAAAGUAUUAAAUUAGGGACCGUCAUCGCUUCGAGGAAAUAAAUUUUUGAAGUGAAAACUUCUUCAGGGACGUUGUGCACUUUUUGGAUGGGAGAAAGUAUUAAAUUAGCGACCGUCAUCGCUUCGACGAAAUAAAUAUUUGAAGUGAAAAUUUCUUGAGGGACGUUGUGCACUUUUUGGAUGGGGCAAAAUAUUAAAUUAGCGACCGUCAUCGCUUCGACGAAAUAAAUAUUUGAAGUGAAAAUUUCUUGAGGGACGUUGUGCACUUUUUGGAUGGGGCAAAAGUAUUAAAUUAGGGACCGUCAUCGCUUCGACGAAAUAAAUUUUUGAAGUGAAAAUUUCUUUAGGGACGUUGUGCUCUUUUUGGAUGGGGCAAAAGUAUUAAAUUAGGGACCGUCAUCGCUUCGACGAAAUAAAUUUUUGAAGUGAAAACUUCUUCAGGGACGUUGUGCACUUUUUGGAUGGGAGAAAGUAUUAAAUUAGCGACCGUCAUCGCUUCGACGAAAUACAUUUUUGAAGUGAAAAUUUCUUUAGGGACGUUGUGCUCUUUUUGGAUGGGGCAAAAGUAUUAAAUUAGGGACCGUCAUCGCUUCGACGAAAUAAAUUUUUGAAGUGAAAACUUCUUCAGGGACGUUGUGCACUUUUUGGAUGGGAGAAAGUAUUAAAUUAGCGACCGUCAUCGCUUCGAUGAAAUAAAUUUUUGAAGUAACGUUUUUUAGGGACGUUGUGCACUCUUUGGAUGGGCAAAAAUUAUUAAAUUAGCGACCAUCAUCACUUCGACGAAAUAAAUUUUUGAAGUGAAAAUUUCUUUAGGGACGUUGUGCACUUUUUUGAUGGGGGAAAAGUAUUGAAUUAGGGACCUUCAUCGCUUCGACGAAAUAAAUAUUUGAAGUGAAAACUUCUUUAGGGACGUUGUGCACUUUUUGGAUGGGAAAAAGUAUUAAAUUAGCGACCGUCAUCGCUGCGACGAAAUAAAUAUUUGAAGUAAAACAUUUCUUGAGGGACUGAGGGACAUAGUGCACUUUUUGGAUGGGGAAAAUAUUAAAUUAGCGACCGUCAUCGCUUCGACGAAAUACAUUUUUGAAGUGAAAAUUUCUUUAGGGACGUUGUGCUCUUUUUGGAUGGGGCAAAAGUAUUAAAUUAGGGACCGUCAUCGCUUCGACGAAAUAAAUUUUUGAAGUGAAAACUUCUUCAGGGACGUUGUGCACUUUUUGGAUGGGAGAAAGUAUUAAAUUAGCGACCGUCAUCGCUUCGACGAAAUAAAUAUUUGAAGUGAAAAUUUCUUGAGGGACGUUGUGCACUUUUUGGAUGGGGAAAAAGUAUAAAAUUAGCGACCGUCAUCGCUUCGACGAAAUAAAUUUUUGAAUUGAAAAUUUCUUUAGGGACGUUGUGCACUUCUUGGAUGGGGAAAAAGUAUUGAAUUUUCGAUCGUCAUCACUUCGCUGAAAUAAAUUUUGUACGUAUAUAAAUUAGGUGUAUGUACAUACAUAUACAUAAAUAGUAUAGGGUAUACGCAUCGCGUAUAUGAUAUAGGUAUAGGACUUCUUUUUGGAUGGGGAAAAUGCAUUCACCUCGUAAUUUAUAUACUAUAAGAAGUUUUCACUUCUGCCGGCACUCCCACGAGUGUCUUCAAUUUUUUUAUUUUUCUUUACAAUUAUUAUAUAAAUAUAUGAUAUAGACUUUAUAGUUUUGACUAGUUGUAAAAAAUGUUUUUUAUGUGCAUAUAUUACCUAGCUCUAUAAGUUGUUUCAUAUAUCGCACUUCCGCUCAAAUAGUGUCACAACUCAAAAAAAAAAUAAAUAAAAACUUGCACCAACAGUUUAAUAAAACUACAAAAUCUUAUCUCAAAAAUUCCACGGUACAAUUAUUUGUCGUUAGGUGACACUAGCGUCAUUAUGUAAUUAACCAAAAUCAAUGAUGUUACAUAAACAGUGACACAUAUCAGCUUGCACAAGGCAGUUGUCCAUCUAAGAUCUAUAUAAAGUGCCGUUUGUUGAGUUAAGACAGUAUAUUAUGCCAUUGCUUUAUUCAAAACAAUCUGUGAAUGUGCUCAAGAAAAGUGACACCUUUAUUUUUUUUUGCAGUAUUUUUUGUUUAAUUUUGAUACUUAUAUAAUUGAUUGAAUACCUGAAUAUUCGGGUAUUCAAUCAACAAUUAUAUUUAAAGUUAGACCAGGAUUAAAAAGUGCAGGAUUAAAAACUAUAACCUGCUAACCAGAUAAUAAUAAUGAUAUUAUAUUCUGUACUGCUAAAACCACUUUUAAUAAAAAAUAAUGUUUCGUCAAUUUUUUGUUAUAUUCAGCCGUGUGAUUAAUGACCGAAGUUAUCUUUAACAUUUGAGUUAAAGUUAAGAUAACUCAGGGAUAACGUGCCCAUAACUAUUUUCGUAAAUUCGGUGUGAUGUAUCUGUCACCAUUAUGAGAUAGUUAUUUCUUCAACAUUAAAAAAGAGAAAUAACAUUUGACUAACAAAGUUUGAAGUAACAAAGAGAACCUUAUGUAGAAAUAUUACAAGUUGGAGUGAGCGCGAGAGAUUGAUCGGAACAUGCCACAGGCUUGACAGGAUGCAGAGAUGGUACAAUUGUACCAAUUUGAUACAAUUAACAACCAAACUUUUGAUACUUAAGUAUCUUAAAGUAAAAACCUCCAAUUUUGUGAUAUGAGAAAUUUGCUUCAAAUAACAUUAAACAACGUUUUUUUAAGUCUUUGUACAAAAUGUGUUGGUUUAGUACAUUUUGUGUCACUAUGUCAGUCAUUCCAGUGCAUUUACAAAAAUUUCUCUGGCAACACUGCAUAUGUUUAUAAAUUUCAACUUAUAUUCAACAAUUAUAUCUCGAGUUGAGUUUUGUAUGAUUUUUAGAAUUGUAUUACCCUUCUAUUCUUAAAUUAUUAGCUUUUUUUUAUUGUUAAUUAUUAUUUUAAUCAUAUUAUUACCUAAGGGCUUUUAAUUGUUAUUUGAAGUCGGUUUUUUUGAUAUUUUUAAUUUUGCACUGCUUUAUAUUUGAUAUUAAAUUAAUAACAUGCCGCAUAAAGUCCUAGGACAAUAUGAAGCAGCGUUCUUCAUUGAAUAUUCACUUGAUUUAUAUCUAAAAACAAGUCAAAAGAUGAUCUAACCUUACAAAUCCUUACAUAACUACAGAGUUAUCUCAUAACUUGAGGUUUAACGUCGCGUUAUAAAGUGACAGUUGAUACAUGUUGAUAUACUGAUAACUCAAAAACUGUCAAGAAAUAACGCAAGUAGUUAAGUUAAAUAAUGAUAGAUCACACCAAUUCGAGGAUUAUAACUUAACUACAGGAUAACUUUAAGUUAAAGAUAACUUCGGUCAUCCAUCACACGGCUGAUUAUCUGUAUAGUGUCACAUCUCAAAGAAAAUUAUUCUUUAUUAAAUAUUUUUAGUAGAGCUAAAUACUCUAUUUUGUAGAGCUUCAAAAAUCUUUGUAACCUAACCUAUAGUUAUUGUUCUAAUUUUAAUAGUUCUUGAAUUAAACCUGGAAAAGUUCUAGCACAAAUUUUAAACUGCGUCUUCUCGAUACUUUACCUUUUUGACUUAUGCCACUGUUUGAGUGGUGGUGAGAUAUGGAUACUUUUAUAUCUCGAUGUUAGGAGAACGUAAAAAAAUCAAAUUGAGGAUGACCAUUGAGAGGAAAGUUAAAAAAUAAAAUUUAUAUUUACAAUAAA